rnacentral:rRNA from 1 species
CCCCCGUUGUCUGUUGCCUAUAUGGCCAGGCGAGACUGCUCCCUCACGGGAGAGGAAGGUGGGGAUGACGCCAGAUCAGCAUGUCCCUCUGAUACCUUGGGCUGCACGCAUAAUACAAUGGUCGGUACAACGGGUUGCAAUAUCGUAAGAUGGAGCCAAUCCUUAUAAAACCGACCCCAGUACGGAUUGAGGUCUGCAACCGACCUCAUGAAGCCGGAAUUGCUAGUAAUCGCAGGUCAGCUAAACUGCGGUGAAUACGUUCUCGAGUCUUGUACUCAUUCAGAAAUGUGCUUGGUAGUUAUUCAAUCCAGUCCGUU